rnacentral:rRNA from 1 species
UACGAAGGGUGCAAGCGUUAAUCGGAAUUACUGGGCGUAAAGCGUGCGUAGGCGGUUUGUUAAGUCUGUUGUGAAAGCCCUGGGCUCAACCUGGGAAUGGCCGUUGAAACUGGCGAACUGGAGUGUGGCAGAGGGGGGUGGAAUUCCGCGUGUAGCAGUGAAAUGCGUAGAGAUGCGGAGGAACACCGAUGGCGAAGGCAGCCCCCCUGGGCUGACACUGACGCUCAGGCACGAAAGCGUGGGGGAGCAAACAGG